GUUGUACAUCACUAGUGUACCACUUUUGCUGUUAAUCAAGGCCUGUGAACAAAUAGUACAGUAACUUGAAGAAUGAGCAUGUAAUGCGAUGCAGAUUCAUGUUACACUCCAGGACUGCCAUGUGAGAGAGUCUGCUAUACCUGGCCAAUGAGAUGAAGUUGUACCACUUCCAUCAGUCCAGACAUUUGUCAAAGAAGUGCAGUUUCGAUGUCGCGAACGACCGACGGUGGAAAGAUGGUGUGCUCCAGCAGUCAGUACCUCGCUACCUGCCAUGGCGCGAGCAUCAGUGUGUGUGUGCAGAUAAUGGAUGUGUGUUACUUAAAGUAGCAAGCGGGAUUAUGAUAUUACGUGUGUUAUCAGUUGCUUGUCUUAUUACUGUGCUGACUAAUAAAACAUUAUUAUCUCAAAGUGUAGUGUUUGAUUAGCUGCAAAGGUGUUACUCAUACUGGCACGCUGCCAGCUUCAUACUGUAUUUACUUGAGUGUAAGACACCCCUGAAUAUAAAAUGGCCCAAUUUUAAAAAAAUUUUUAUUUAUUUAUUUUUUUAAUGAGAGGCUCCU